CCUACGGGGUGCAGCAGUGGGGAAUAUUGCACAAUGGGGGAAACCCUGAUGCAGCAACGCCGCGUGAGUGAAGAAGGUUUUCGGAUUGUAAAGCUCUGUUAGCAGGGAAGAGGAAGGACGGUACCUGCAGAGGAAGCCACGGCUAACUACGUGCCAGCAGCCGCGGUAAUACGUAGGUGGCAAGCGUUGUUCGGAUUUAUUGGGUUUAAAGGGUGCGUAGGCGGAAUGCCAAGUCAGCGGUAAAAUCGCGGGGCUAAACCUCGCUCCGCCGUUGAAACUGGCGUUCUUGAGUGGGCGAGAAGGAUGCGGAAUGCGUGGUGUAGCGGUGAAAUGCAUAGAUAUCACGCAGAACUCCGAUGGCGAAGGCAGCAUACCGGCGCCCAACUGACGCUGAAGCACGAAAGCGUGGGGAUCGAACAGGAUUAGAUACCCCUGUAGUC
rnacentral:rRNA from 1 species